UCCUGCCAGGAGGGGACAGGUCCCAGAAAACAGGGACAGGAGGAGAGUUGUGCCAGGGGAGGGUCAGGUUGAAUAUCAGGGAAUUUUUUCCUGGAAAGGGUGACGAGCAUUGGCACAGGGCAGUGGUGACAUCCCCAGCCCUGAAGCGCUGAAAACCACGUGGCUGUGGCACUGGGGUGGCCGUGGUGCUGGGCUGAAGGCUCCAUGAUCUCCAAGGUCUUUUCCAGCCCCGGUGGCUUUGCUUGCACAGUUCUGUCCCUGGCACUGGCAGAGCCCUGCAUUCCCUGUGAAUCUCCACCAGAGGAGGGAGUCCAUGGCUGCAGCUCCCUGGCCAUCCUGCCAGCCCUCAGAUCCCGGGGAGGCAACAGCACCUGCUGGGGUUUUGUGCUGCUCAGGAAGAGCUCCCCAGGAUCAGAGCUGGGCCCUGGCCUGGCCACGCUCCUCAGUGCCCAGAGUUUGCUCUGGGCACCUCCUCCCUGUGCCCUGCCUGCUGCUUUUUCCUUUGCUCUUUCCCAGCUGCACUUUGGAAGAUCCUGCUUUGCCCCUGGAAGUUGCUCUGAGCAGCCACGGGGUUUGUCCCCCUCCCAGCACAGCAAUCCCUCAUUCCUGGAGUAAUCUCAGGACACAGAUCCUGGAGGGAAAUGUUGCACUUGAAAGCAACUGAGCCUCUCAAGCCUCCCAGCUCUGCCCCUGAGGCUCUGUUAUCAUCCCACCCUCGGUGCAGAGAAGCUUCUGAAAUGGAUGGAACUAAUAAUCGUGGAGGAGCUGGGGCUGCACUUCCAGCCUCGGGCUGCAGCACUGGAGCCUUGAUUUCAAAUCCUGCAGCGACAAAUGGAUUAUUUCUGUGGCAAAUUAGUCCCUGGGGACCAGCAAUUUGGGGAGCUGAAUGCUGGAACUGGGAAGCAGCAGAUCAAUUCCCAACACUUAGAGGCAAGGUUAAUGCCCUGCAAACUGCCCUGAGUGCAGCAGCGAGCAGAACAGGGCCCUGCCUGGCCAAGGGGGCCUCAGGAAUGUGGCCAAGGGAAGAUGGAGAACUCUGGAGCAAGGGAAGUGAGAUCCAUGGAUUUGCUGGUAAAACCUGGGGGCUGUUCUGGGGCAGUGACAGUGGGAUUUGACUAAAAGAAGUGGAACUGAUGUCUCCAAGAAGGAGGCUGUGGGACUUGGGACAGUGGUGGCAGUGGCAGCUCCCAUCCCUGUCACCUCCAGCCCUUCCCAGACAUCAUGGACAGCGUCCCAAAAUUCCUGUUUCACAUAAGGGAUCUCCUCAAGGUUGGACACUCUUAUUUUCCCCAGUGACAACAGCUUUGAAAUAACCCCAGGAAAGCAUUCCAGCAGCUGAGGAAGGACCCAUGGAAGGCAGAACUGAUGGGGACAGACUGAUCCCACAUCCGAGGAGGAGGAGGAGCAGAGAUCCCUGGCUGUGGGGUGGAGCAGUGGGGGCACGCAGCAGCCCAUCCUGCUGAAGGUUUGCCAGGGCUUGGUUGGAUUGAGGGGCCUGGGAACCUCACUCAGCCUCCAGGAAAAUGUGGUGGAGUCUCCUGCAGUGAGGGUGGGAUGGUGGGGGGGUCACAGGGGUGACACAGACCCCUCGUUCUGGCCCCUUCGUUAGCGAGAGCUGCCUGGCAGGCUGAAAAGAUCCCUUUUCCCAGGAAAUAAGCUCUUGCUUAUUUAUUUCCACGAGUAGGCAGAUAAAUUCCAUCAGCAAUUCCAUCUGCCAGGAAGAAGAGGAGUUGCUGGAACAGCUCAUUGUCCAGUGCUGUGCUUGUAAGGUCACCAGAGGAACCCGUCCAGCUCCUCACAGGGAGUGUGAGCCCUGCGAGCCCUGGUUCCCCUGGCAGACCCUGGCCUUCCCCCUCUGCUGCCCUGCAACAGCUGCCCAAAAGGAUUCUUCUGGUACCAAAGAGAUAAUCUGAGUUCAGGGAAAAUCUUAGUUUGUGGGGGAAUGGCUGUGAAGGGAGCACGGGCUGUCUCUGGCAGCAGAGUUAACCUUAACGGGAGUUGGGAUUGUGCAGCCUGGGGAAGAGCAGGAUGCAGGGGGACCCGAGGGCUCUUUCCAGUGCCUGGAGGGGUUCUGAGAGAGCUGGAGAGGGACUGGGGACAAGGGCCAGGGUAAGGGGGAAUGGCUUUUCCAGAGGGCAGGGUUACAUGGGAUAUUAGGGAGAAAUUCCUCCCUGUGAGGGUGGGCAGGCCCUGGAUCAAUGGCAGUGUUCAAGGCCAGGUGCAGCCUGGGCUAGUGGAAGGUGUCCCUGCCAUGGCAAGGGCUCUCCAGAGGGUGUGGGUGAAGUUUUCCCAGUCACAGCUCUGGGCAGCAAACACUGAGCUCAGCCAGGGGUGUUACAGGCUCCAACUGCUUCUGCUUUCCACAGCGAGCCGUGCCCGGACGGCUCUGGGGCAGAGCCAAGGUGUAUUUGCUAAUGGAAGAGGAGAUCUGAACCCAUUUGGUGGAUUUCGCAUGGCCAAACAACAUUCACCACCAGGAGAUGGGAGGUGGGAGCUGUGGGAGCUCCCUGCCCUGCCCAGGGCUCAGUGACACCAGGAGCUGUUGGUCCAGGACCUGGGGCUGUGUUAUUGUCCCUCAUCCCAACCAACACGUUUAACAAACACAGAACGACUCCAGGAGUUCACACGAGGUGAUGAGGGAUGGAAAAGCAGGAAACAGUGAACUCCUGAGGAGUUUGCUGUCUGUGGAAGGCUGGGCAGGGCGAGGGGGUGGAAAUGGAGCCGCCAGGCAGGGAGCUCCGUUCUGAGGCUGGGGACAGACAGGGAAAUCCAGCUCCACACGGAGCAGGUACCUGGGAGCUCUUCAGAGGGGAGCCUGGGGCUCCAACCACUGCUGUGCCAGGGUUCCAUGCCCCUGGGAACUGCAGCUCCAU